ACAUUGCAAAGAGUGGCGAACGGGUGAGUAACACGUGGGAAACCUACCUCUUAGCAGGGGAUAACAUUUGGAAACAGAUGCUAAUACCGUAUAACAAUGACAACCGCAUGGUUGUUAUUUAAAAGAUGGUUCUGCUAUCACUAAGAGAUGGUCCCGCGGUGCAUUAGCUAGUUGGUAAGGUAAUGGCUUACCAAGGCGAUGAUGCAUAGCCGAGUUGAGAGACUGAUCGGCCACAAUGGGACUGAGACACGGCCCAUACUCCUACGGGAGGCAGCAGUAGGGAAUCUUCCACAAUGGGCGAAAGCCUGAUGGAGCAACGCCGCGUGUGUGAUGAAGGGUUUCGGCUCGUAAAACACUGUUGUAAGAGAAGAAUGACAUUGAGAGUAACUGUUCAAUGUGUGACGGUAUCUUACCAGAAAGGAACGGCUAAAUACGUGCCAGCAGCCGCGGUAAUACGUAUGUUCCAAGCGUUAUCCGGAUUUAUUGGGCGUAAAGCGAGCGCAGACGGUUAUUUAAGUCUGAAGUGAAAGCCCUCAGCUCAACUGAGGAAUUGCUUUGGAAACUGGAUGACUUGAGUGCAGUAGAGGAAAGUGGAACUCCAUGUGUAGCGGUGAAAUGCGUAGAUAUAUGGAAGAACACCAGUGGCGAAGGCGGCUUUCUGGACUGUAACUGACGUUGAGGCUCGAAAGUGUGGGUAGCAAACAGGAUUAGAUACCCUGGUAGUCCACACCGUAAACGAUGAGUGCUAGGUGUUUGAGGGUUUCCGCCCUUAAGUGCCGCAGCUAACGCAUUAAGCACUCCGCCUGGGGAGUACGACCGCAAGGUUGAAACUCAAAGGAAUUGACGGGGACCCGCACAAGCGGUGGAGCAUGUGGUUUAAUUCGAAGCAACGCGAAGAACCUUACCAGGUCUUGACAUCCCUUGACAACUCCAGAGAUGGAGUGUUCCCUUCGGGGACAAGGUGACAGGUGGUGCAUGGUUGUCGUCAGCUCGUGUCGUGAGAUGUUGGGUUAAGUCCCGCAACGAGCGCAACCCUUAUUACUAGUUGCCAGCAUUCAGUUGGGCACUCUAGUGAGACUGCCGGUGACAAACCGGAGGAAGGUGGGGAUGACGUCAAAUCAUCAUGCCCCUUAUGACCUGGGCUACACACGUGCUACAAUGGCGUAUACAACGAGUUGCCAACCCGCGAGGGUGAGCUAAUCUCUUAAAGUACGUCUCAGUUCGGAUUGUAGGCUGCAACUCGCCUACAUGAAGUCGGAAUCGCUAGUAAUCGCGGAUCAGCACGCCGCGGUGAAUACGUUCCCGGGUCUUGUACACACCGCCCGUCACACCAUGAGAGUUUGUAACACCCAAAGCCGGUGG
rnacentral:rRNA from 1 species